AAAAAAUCGGAUUUGUUCUGUUCAAACUGUCAUUAACAGAUCUGAUACAGGUCACAUAUGCGCAAAAAAAAAAUCAGAUUUGGGCCACGUUUGCCUGCAGUCUGAACGUAGCCUAAUUCUGGUGCAUUUGGAGAAAAGUAGAGCAACACAUUACAUUCAAUAAAAAAAAAAAUAGACACUUUAUUUUGUAAUUAUGAGAAAAGGUUGAACCUAGUUAUUGAUCACUGGCUCAUAACAUCAACAAUAGUGAGAAAAGUAU